rnacentral:tRNA from 1 species
GGGCGUGUAGUUCAGUGGUUAGAACGCCACUCUUAUAAAGUGGAGGCCGAUGGUCCGAUCCCAUCCACGCCCACCA